AACGUGCCUCAUAGUGGGGGAUAACGCAGCGAAAGCUGUGCUAAUACCGCAUACGCCCUGAGGGGGAAAGCGGGGGACCGUAAGGCCUCGCGCUAUGAGAGCGGCCGAUACCUGAUUAGCUUGUUGGUGGGGUAAAAGCCCACCAAGGCGACGAUCAGUAGCUGGUCUGAGAGGACGAUCAGCCACACCAGGACUGAGACACGGCCCAGACUCCUACGGGAGGCAGCAGUGGGGAAUUUUGGACAAUGGGGGCAACCCUGAUCCAGCAAUGCCGCGUGAGUGAAGAAGGCCUUCGGGUUGUAAAGCUCUUUUGUCAGGGAAGAAACAGCAGCUCUAACACAGUCUGCGAAUGGCGGUACCUGAAGAAUAAGCACCGGCUAACUACGUGCCAGCAGCCGCGGUAAUACGUAGGGUGCGAGCGUUAAUCGGAAUUACUGGGCGUAAAGCGUGCGCAGGCGGUUAUACAAGACAGGCGUGAAAUCCCCGGGCUUAACCUGGGUAUGGCGCCUGUGACUGUAUAGCUAGAGUGUGUCAGAGGGGGGUAGAAUUCCACGUGUAGCAGUGAAAUGCGUAGAUAUGUGGAGGAAUACCAAUGGCGAAGGCAGCCCCCUGGGAUAACACUGACGCUCAUGCACGAAAGCGUGGGGAGCAAACAGGAUUAGAUACCCUGGUAGUCCACGCCCUAAACGAUGCU
rnacentral:rRNA from 1 species